rnacentral:rRNA from 1 species
ACUGACUGCAAUCGGAUUGAUACUAAGCCAUGCGAGUCUUUGUAGUAAUACAAGGCAGACGGCUCAGUAACGCGUAGUCAAUCUACCCUAUGGACGAGGAUAACCUCGGGAAACUGAGAAUAAUACUCGAUAGAACAUUAUGCCUGGAAUGGUUUAUGUUCCAAAUGAUUUAUCGCCGUAGGAUGGGACUGCGGCCUAUCAGUUUGUUGGUGAGGUAAUGGCCCACCAAGACUAUUACAGGUACGGGCUCUGAGAGGAGUGGCCCGGAGAUGGGUACUGAGACACGGACCCAGGCCCUAUGGGGCGCAGCAGGCGAGAAAACUUUGCAAUGUGCGAAAGCACGACAAGGUUAAUCCGAGUGGUUUCUGCUAAAGAGACCUUUUGUCGGUCCUAGAAACACCGAUGAAUAAGGGGUGGGCAAGUUCUGGUGUCAGCCGCCGCGGUAAAACCAGCACCUCAAGUGGUCAGGAUGAUUAUUGGGCCUAAAGCAUCCGUAGCCGGCUCUGUUAGUUUUCGGUUAAAUCUGUACGCUCAACGUACAGGCUGCCGGGAAUACUGCAGAGCUAGGGAGUGGGAGAGGUAGACGGUACUCGGUAGGAAGGGGUAAAAUCCUUUGAUCUAUUGAUGACCACCUGUGGCGAA